rnacentral:tRNA from 1 species
GGUCAAUUACCCAAGUCCGGCUGAAGGGACCGCUCUCGAAAAGCGGCAGGAGAUGAAAGUCUCGCGAGGGUUCGAAUCCCUCAUUGACCG